GAAGAAGAAGAACCAGUUGUAAAGAGACUAGGGGAAGAAAAUGGAAAAGAAUAAGAAGAACUAAUUGCAGGACUGAUUAAUUUAUGACACAUUAUUGUCUCUUUGCAAGAUUGGCAAGAAGAGAAACCGGCCUGUAUAUAUUUAAAAGCAUUCUUGAGAUGAAAAACCAACAGGUGUAAGCUCAGAUCAUGAAGUCCGACCUGUUUAAUUACUACUGAUAAUAUCAAAA